rnacentral:rRNA from 1 species
UCGUACGAAGUGCGAUGGGGUUUACUCUAUCGUAUGGCAGUGGCGGACGGGUGCGUAACGCGUAAGAACUUACCUUUUGGCGAGGGACAACCGCGGGAAACUGCGGCUAAUACCUCAUAGAGCUGAGGAGCGAAAGGUGAAAACCACCAAAAGAGAGGCUUGCGUCUGAUUAGCUAGUUGGUGAGGGUAAUGGCUUCCCAAGGCGACGAUCAGUAGCUGGUCUGAGAGGAUGAUCAGCCACACUGGAACUGAGACACGGUCCAGACUCC